rnacentral:rRNA from 1 species
UACGAAGGGGGCUAGCGUUGUUCGGAUUUACUGGGCGUAAAGCGCACGUAGGCGAAUCGUUAAGUCGGGGGUGAAAUCCUGGAGCUCAACUCCAGAACUGCCUUCGAUACUGGCGAUCUUGAGUCCGGAAGAGGUGAGUGGAACUCCUAGUGUAGAGGUGGAAUUCGUAGAUAUUAGGAAGAACACCAGUGGCGAAGGCGGCUCACUGGUCCGGUACUGACGCUGAGGUGCGAAAGCGUGGGGAGCAAACAGG